UACAGAGGUCCCGAGCGUUGUUCGGAUUUACUGGGCGUAAAGGGUGCGUAGGUGGUCGGGCGUGUCUGAUGUGAAAGCCCCGGGCCCAACCCGGGAACGGCAUCGGAAACUGCCUGGCUCAGAGGGUUGGAGGGGGGACUGGAAUUCCCGGUGUAGCAGUGAAAUGCGUAGAUAUCGGGAGGAACGCCAGUGGCGAAGGCGAGUCCCUGGACAACACCUGACACUGAGGCACGAAAGCUAGGGGAGCAAACAGG
rnacentral:rRNA from 1 species